UACAGAGGGUGCGAGCGUUAAUCGGAAUUACUGGGCGUAAAGCGUGCGUAGACGGUUAUUUAAGUCAGGUGUGAAAGCCCCGGGCUCAACCUGGGAAUUGCAUUUGAGACUGAAUAGCUAGGGUGCGGAAGAGGGAAGCGGAAUUUCCGGUGUAGCGGUGAAAUGCGUAGAUAUCGGAAGGAACACCAGUGGCGAAAGCGGCUCCUGGUCCAGCACCGACGUUCAGGCACGAAAGCGUGGGGAGCAAACAGG
rnacentral:rRNA from 1 species